CUUCCAGAGCUCCCUUUGUAGCUAAUAGCUCUUGAGAUCUUCGAUUUCACUUUGCUCUUUUUUUUUAGGUUCAAACUUCUUUUGUUGCCUUCUUUUUCCCGGAUCUGCUUCCAUUGAUUGAAUAAUCCUAAUUGCAGAAAACUCUACCCAGAAGCCGAUCGAAUUGUUGCACGAAAUCGUCACAGGAGGAGGAGGUGAUGAUGAGAAUCUCUUGAUCUACUGUAAACCUGUUCGUCUCUACAACAUUCUUCGCAUUCGCUCUCUAUUCAACGUAAAUCAAUUGCGUCUCUCUCUCUCUCUGAAUCAUUCUUUUAGCCCAGCUGAUACUGCUUGUCUCUCACUCAUGGUCUUUGUUUUUUUCAUGCAUGCCGCCAUCGUUUCUUCCUAGAUGCUUGAGCAAAGGGCAAAAGAAAGUGAAGUGGUGACGGAUGGUGAGAAGUCGAAGUCGGGGAAGAAGGGAGCUAAGGCUCCAUGUGCGAAGCCACUUUCUCAGUAUUCUCAGACCACACGAAGUGAUCUAAUGAACAAUAUUUGGGUCUGUUGCAGGCAUACUUUGAUGCGCCCGGGGUUUAGUAAAUUUAAGCUUUUUAUAUUGGCCAAUUUGUAACCAACCACUGUUAUUGUUUUCCAUAUUCAUAUUCAUGAAUGGAGUUUUAGUGAAGGUGAUUUCCUUGAAAUAAGCAAGCAGAUGAUGCUUAAUCACCAAAAGCUUACACAACCGAGGAUUACCUCAAAGAUCACUGAAGAGCAGCUCAAAGCUUCGUCUCCUGGUAAAAGCCAAACAGAGGAUCAAAUUCAGACUCAAGAACCUGCUGUACAAAGCCAGCCUGAAGUUAGUUACAUCGAGAGAGACCAUGGCUGCAUCUCCUCCAACGCAAGAUUAAAAGGCACCCAAAAAUUUGACUCGUCAUGUUAAAAGCAUAAAAGCCUCUCUGUCUAUUGGGAGGCUUUCGGAGGCACAUUUUUCAUUUGACAAAGGAGACAACGCAAUUAGCUCUCAGGACGUUGUCAGGAAGCAUUAUAUAUUGUGCUGUUCUUAUGAAUUGAAAAUAUGAGAGUGUGCGACACAUGUGUAUUUAUGUGCUAUUUGUUUCUUACUUAAUGAUUAUAAAUAGGGUUUGUUAGUUAAAUAUCA